AGCAGUUCUCUGGUGACGCACCCAGGAAUCAGGCUCCCUCCUCUCUGGUUCUGGGUGCGUAACCCGAGAACUGCA
rfam:Myotis brandtii contig295686, whole genome shotgun sequence.